rnacentral:rRNA from 1 species
UGCCAGCCGCCGCGGUAACACGGAGGGCGCAAGCGUUAUUCGGAAUUAUUGGGCGUAAAAAGCACGCAGGCGGUCUUGUCCGUCAGGUGUAAAAACUCGGGGCUCAACCCCGGAAGUGCACUUGAAACAGCAAGACUUGAAUACAGUAGAAAAAAAAGGAAUUCCUAGUAUAGAGGUGAAAUUCGUAGAUAUCAGGAAAAACACCGAUGGCAAAAGCAUCUCUCUGGGCCGAUAUUGACGCUGAGGCGCGAAGGCGUGGAUAACGAACAGGAUUAGAUA